UGGCCGUGGCUGCUGCUGACAGGCGCCCCUCCUUCUCCUACUCAGCUCCUCGGUAUUCAUCUGAGGAGAGCGGUCCUGCUCAGUACAACUUCCAGUGGGCCGUCAACGACGCCCCCUCAGGUAACGACUUCGGUCACCAGGAGAACCGUGACAACGACAACACCCAGGGGUCGUACACCGUGCAGCUUCCCGACGGUCGUCUUCAGACCGUGAAAUACUACGUGGACGGUGACUCAGGCUACAUUGCUGAUGUGGGUUACCAGGGUGAUGCUCGCUACCCCGACUCUGAUGAAGUCAGGUCCUACACCCCACCCAGACCCCAGUACGGAUAAGACCCCGGCCACUGUCUCUUUAGGAUGUUCAAUGAUUUAACUUUAUCUUCAGAAAACACAUACCUGAACCUGGCAAUACUCAGCCUACAGUAUAUUUAUGCAAUUGUAUAUUUUGAUAUUGAAUAAAAUAAUUUUCAUUCUA